rnacentral:rRNA from 1 species
AGAGUUUGAUCAUGGCUCAGAAUCAACGCUGGCGGCGUGCCUCAGACAUGCAAGUCGAACGCGAAAGUUCCCUUCGGGGAAUAAGUAGAGUGGCGCACGGGUGAGUAACACGUAGGUAAUCUACCUUCGGGUGGGGAAUAACCCAGGGAAACUUGGGCUAACACCGCAUGAUGCAGCGGCACCACAUGGUGACAGUUGUUAAAGCGGGGGAUUUUCGGACCUCGCGCCUGAAGAGGAGCCUGCGGCGGAUUAGCUAGUUGGUGAGGUAACGGCUCACCAAGGUCACGAUCCGUAGCCGGCCUGAGAGGGCGGUCGGCCACACUGACACUGACAUACGGGUCAGACUCCUACGGGAGGCAGCAGUCGGGAAUUUUGGGCAAUGGGCGAAAGCCUGACCCAGCAACGCCGCGUGAAGGAUGAAAUCCCUCGGGAUGUAAACUUCGCAAGAAUGGGAAGAAUGAACGAGCGCUAAUACCGUUCGUGAUGACGGUACCAUUUGUAAGCUCCGGCUAACUCCGUGCCAGCAGCCGCGGUAAUACGGGGGGAGCAAGCGUUGUUCGGAUUUACUGGGCGUAAAGGGCGCGUAGGCGGCCAGCGCAAGUCAGUUGUGAAAUCUCCGGGCUUAACUCGGAAAGGUCAACUGAUACUGCGCGGCUAGAGUGCGGAAGGGGCAACUGGAAUUCUCGGUGUAGCGGUGAAAUGCGUAGAUAUCGAGAGGAACACCUGCGGCGAAGGCGGGUUGCUGGGCCGACACUGACGCUGAUGCGCGAAAGCCAGGGGAGCGAACGGGAUUAGAUACCCCCGUAGUCC